rnacentral:rRNA from 1 species
UACGGGGGGGGCAAGCGUUGUUCGGAAUUACUGGGCGUAAAGGGCGCGUAGGCGGCCUUCUAAGUCAGACGUGAAAUCCCUCGGCUCAACCGAGGAACUGCGUCUGAUACUGGAAGGCUUGAAUCCGGGAGAGGGAUGUGGAAUUCCAGGUGUAGCGGUGAAAUGCGUAGAUAUCUGGAGGAACACCGGUGGCGAAGGCAGCUCGCUGGGACGUGACUGACGCUGAGACGCGAAAGCGUGGGGAGCAAACAGG